GAUGAACGCUGGCGGCGUGCCUAAUACAUGCAAGUCGAGCGAACAGAUGAGGAGCUUGCUCCUCUGACGUUAGCGGCGGACGGGUGAGUGACACGUGGAUAACCUACCUAUAAGACCGGGAUAACUUCGGGAAACCGGAGCUAAUACCGGAUAAUAUAUUGAACCGCAUGGUUCAAUAGUGAAAGACGGUUUUGCUGUCACUUAUAGAUGGAUCCGCGCCGCAUUAGCUAGUUGGUAAGGUAACGGCUUACCAAGGCAACGAUGCGUAGCCGACCUGAGAGGGUGAUCGGCCACACUGGAACUGAGACACGGUCCAGACUCCUACGGGAGGCAGCAGUAGGGAAUCUUCCGCAAUGGGCGAAAGCCUGACGGAGCAACGCCGCGUGAGUGAUGAAGGUCUUCGGAUCGUAAAACUCUGUUAUUAGGGAAGAACAAAUGUGUAAGUAACUAUGCACGUCUUGACGGUACCUAAUCAGAAAGCCACGGCUAACUACGUG
rnacentral:rRNA from 1 species